rnacentral:rRNA from 1 species
UAGGGAAUCUUCCACAAUGGACGAAAGUCUGAUGGAGCAACGCCGCGUGAGUGAAGAAGGGUUUCGGCUCGUAAAGCUCUGUUGGUAGUGAAGAAAGAUAGAGGUAGUAACNGGCCUUUAUUGACGGUAAUUACUUAGAAAGUCACGGCUAACUACGUGCC